rnacentral:misc_RNA from 1 species
UGGGUCUAAUUCUCCAGUUUCAUCAAAUUCUGGUUGGAAAGUUGGUAGGCUUGCAGGAUCAGAUAUGGAUAAUGCAGGGAUGGUAAGCUUACUAUUGAAUCCUGAACACACAAGCAUGUCUUCAUGUUCAUGUCUGAUACAAUGAAAAUCUAAUCAUUGUUCUAUAACUUGAGCAUGUAAGUUCAAUUAUUCUUCUAAAUUAUGGGCUCAUUUGUAUGGCCAGGCAUAUGUUAGUAAGAUUGCAGCCUGUUGCUGUCAUGAGUGCUGAGUUAUUAUGCAGAUUCUGUGUGAUUUUAGCUAUAUUUCAGAUGCUCAUUCAAAUGCUAGUUCCAUAAAACCCUACAGGUAAAGCAGGGAUUGGGGUAGGUCUUGGAUGCAUCUGUUGCAUAUAACAUGAGAUAUUUUAUUAUCAAACACUAUAAAUUAGCUUCUCUGUUAACUUUUUUUUUUCUCUUUUUUAAUUUCUUUAAAGCUAAUUUGCGAAAUGGUGUCUGAUUUACCCACCCGCAUGACAGUAAUAGUGUUUGAACUUUGAAGCCAGAGCCCAUGUCUUAGACCUUUUUGUACUAUUUUCAUCCCAGAAAAUGACCUUGGUGAUUCAUUUGACUCGUGGAAAAGAAAACCUUGAUUUUGUCAAGAAGACUUGACAUGAUGUUUGACAAUUUAGUUGACCCAUGUAUGAGUUCUUGCACAAACAGAUAGGCAGAAGCUUUCAGGCUGUGUAUUAGAUUUGAACGUAUUAGUUUAUUUCUUUUCUUUGUUUAAAAUGGUUCUUGCAGGUUGUUGUCAAGGAUUUUGUAUCCCGAGCUGUUAUAUCACAAUUUAAA